GCCUAGGCUGGAGGGCAGUGGUGUGAUCACGGCUCACUGCAGCCUCAACCUCCCAGGCUCAAGCGAUCCUCCCACCUCAGCCUCCCAAAGUGCUGGGACAACAGGCCUGAGCCACUGCGCCUAGCCAUCUCUACAUUAUAACUGCAUGUGAAUCUACAAUGCAAGAUCUGUCUCCCACACCAGGCUGGGUGCCUCCUAAGACAGGGACUGCAAUCGCGUUUCUCUGUCUCAUCUUGUAUGAUGCCUGACUCAGCAGAUGAUAGAAGUCGAAGGUGCUAACGAUGGGCACACAUCACAAACUCAUUGCGAGGCACAACUCGGCUCAGCGUGACCCUCUCACUGCAUCCCUGGAAGCUCCCAUGGGGCUGGCAAGGGACAGUGUCUGCCCCAAGGCCGCCUGGACCGAGCACCUGUUCCCUUUCCCGCUGUGCCUCCUGCAUCCCCAGAGGGCUCGGGACACAAGCAUGAAUGAAUCGAAGAACCCAAACACCCCAAGGUGUGGUCGGCCAGGUAUCUUCGUUUCCCUGCCUGGUGACACCCCUGCCUUGUGACAGUCAAUGUGCAGAAAUGCAGUUUUCUUCUGCUAGGGGAGGGACUGAGGUGGAGGAAGCCCGUGGGUGCUGGCUGGGCAGGUUAUCUGUCUCAGGGUAAACGGGCAGCAGCUGGUGUAUAACUGGUGCGGAUGGAGCCUAAGGUGGCCCCACAACCCCCACCUCCUGGCAACCACGCAUUUGUAGGCGUUUCUCCCCAUAAAAGUAUGGACAGGGCUGUCACUUAAACCUAACCCAUAAAAUACAGCAGAGCUGACGGACUGUCACUCCUGGGACGAUGACACAUCACACGAUGCUCUAUAUCUUACUAGCCGACUAGCUGAAGACCUCCCUUGCUAGCUUGACAUCAGUAGCCACAUCAGAGAAGCCCAUGGGGCAAGGAACUGCAGGUGGGCCCUGGGAACUGCAGGCGGCCUCCAAGAACCAAGUUAAAAAAAAAAAAAUGAAGCCCCCAUCCUUCAACCGCAAAGUAGUGGAUUAUAUCAGCCACCACAAGAGCUUGGAAGGGGUUGUAUGAGUCUGUUCUCAUGUUGCUAAUAAAGACAUACUAAAUAAUAAAGACUGGGUAAUUUAGAAAGGAAAGAGGUUUAAUGGACUCACAGUUCCGCAUGGCUGGGGAGGCCUCACAAUCAUGGUGGAAGGUGAACGAGCACAGGCACAUCUUACACAGCGGCAGGCAAGGGAGUGUGUGCAGGGGAACUGCCCUUUAUAAAACCAGAUAGUUUCUCAGAAAAUCUCAGAUUCAGAAAUGCGCCUAGCAGAGAAUAAAGACCAAUUCCACACCACACCCGAG
rnacentral:lncRNA from 10 species